rnacentral:tRNA from 1 species
GGGGCCUUAGCUCAGCUGGGAGAGCGCCUGCUUUGCACGCAGGAGGUCAUCGGUUCGAUCCCGAUAGGCU